rnacentral:lncRNA from 1 species
UUCAAUCUAUGGAAACCUCAAUCCCACACACUAGUGGAUGGGUCCUGAGGGCUCUGUCCUUGGUGAGGACAGAUUGUCUUCUCCCUGGUUCUGUGUGCCCAAGGAGAGAGGGUGGAGGGCCCUGCUCUGCUUCCUCCCUGGCCCCACUGUGGCUUCCAGAACCUUGACCCUGGUGACAUCCCUCUAUCUGCCCAGGGCACUUUCCGAAAGGCCCCUGGGGCUGCCCGUGUGGAAUACUGCCAGCCAUGCCACCUGGGGGCAUUCUGUGGCAAAGCUGGCCUGGCUGAGCCCCAGGGCCUGUGCCACCCUGGGCAUCACUGCGGGCCUGGCUCCAACACCUCGUCCCUGGUGAGUGCAGGCCCUAUCAGGCCUUCCCAGGGCAGGGGUCAGGGACACCACAGGGCAAAGGCCCAGCACCUGCCUGCCCCGUGAGGGGCAGAGUAGCCCUGAGAAGAUAGAAUGAAAUCACUGCAGAGCGGGUAGAACUGCAGCCAUUAUACAUGGCCCGUGAAAACAUGUAACCAGUGAGGAAGGGCCCAAGAGGCUAGCAUCCAGUACCCACUGCAAAAGGCACCAAAUACAAAUAUGUCUUCAGCCAGGAAAAGGCUCAGUGGGCUGACAUUAAGGGCACAUGAAGCAAUGCCACUUCAGUACCCGACGCAUCUACUAACUACUGAUAGUAAAGCAAGUGCUGAAGGCCUCAUAAGACGUCCGUGUGGGAGAGUCCAUGCUCUCAUGCUCUCCGCUGCAGCCUGGGCCCAGGGGCUGCUGCAGUCUUGCAAUACCUAACGAGAGCCUAGGGCAGCUUGGAAUUAUUGGAAUUGAUCCAGUAAUUCCAAUGUGGGAAAGAAUCUGAAAUGGGAAAAAAGUCAUUUGUGAAAAAACGUUCAAAGCAACAACAAAACACCAUAAAGGCCCAAUAAUAAAAAAAAAUCUAGACAGAGAUAUAGCUUAUCAACCUAGAGGGAUACUAGGUAAGCAUUAAUAAUUGUUGUAAGUACAUCGUUUGAUGCAUAGAUGAUUGAUAGAUGAUAGAUAAUUGAUUGAUUAUUUGAGAAAUGAUAAAUAUAGAUUGAUUAAUUGAUAGAUGAUAGUUGCACCUCAUCACAAUUAAAGCUGUGUGUUGGUGAUAUUAGCAGAGAGUUGGAAUUGGUUAGGUUAUUUAACAACUUAACAAUCAAAAUUUACUUUCUUUUUCUGAAGUUAAAUUCCUGAGUGUUUCCCAGAGGGUUCCUGGCGGUGCAGAACAGGUGUGGCUGGGCUGAGCUGGGCAGGCUUCCCUAGAGAGGGGCUCAGGGAGGAAGAGGAGGGAAGCCAGUGGAGAGAACCCACUUGCUCUCAGCUUGUAAACCUCAACAGACCCCUCUUCCUCUAGAAGGGACUCCCCUUUGGUGACCUCUGUCCCCCGGGUCAUUUCUGCCCUGCUGGCACCAAGGACCCCAGGCAGUGGCUCUGCCCGGCUGGCACCUGGAAUGCAGAGAGAGGGGCACAGGACAUAAGCUGGUGCCUGCCUCGCCCACCUGGGCUCUUCUGUGCCACCACAGGCCAGGCUGCCCCUGGGGGCCCGUAUGCACCAGGUUUCCACUGCCCAGGAGGGGCGCAGACCCCGACACCCCUUGGUGGGCUGUGGGGACACUUCGAGGGCUCCCUGGCGGCCACACCUCGGCAAGACGGGGAGCACAGCUACGGCACAGGCUGAGAGACCCACCAGGGGAGGACCUGCUCCCCAGGUCAUUACUGCCCCCAGGGCACUAGCCACCUCCCUAGGCCCUGUCCUCCAGGCGUGUCCAGUCCCUGGGAGGACCGAAGCCAGGCCCACAGCUGCCCGCCAUGUCCUGCAGGUGAGGAGGGGGGGCAAGGCUGUGCGGUGGGGCCCAAGGGACUCAGCUCCUGGAAAACCUCUUUUGCUGUCCCAGGGCCCAGAGGUCUGUGAUGCGAGGUAGAGGGCAGGGCCUUUGGGCGGAGUCAGAACCCACUUCCUGACUGUGGGAAAUCCCUUAACUCGGGAAUCCUGAGUUCUCCCCUCAGAUGAGAGCUGAGAUGAGCAUUAAAUAAGACUGAGCUCAGGAAGGGCAGUAAAGAAACACCUGUCCUGGAGGAGGCUGCAGAGCAGAAUAAGCCUGAGGAGAGGCAGGGCUGGACGUGGACCCCACCGCCACGAUGGCCCCUCCCGCAGGGCAGGCGAGCGGCAGGGACGGAGGGCAUAACAGAGAAAGGUAGGAUCCAGUCUCUGCAGGGUCUCUGACAUGCAGGAAAUGUCCCAUCUCUGCUGGUGCCUGGCCAAGGCUUCCACGCUGCCCAAAAGAUGAGAGCAGCAUCAGGACAGCUUUCCUGGAGAAGUUAAGGGCUGAGCUAAAGAAGGAGGAUCAUAAAAAGGUCAAUUGGAGGGUGCUGGGCUGGAGGAGCUUUAGGAGCAGGACUUCCCACAUGUCCUUGCAGCCACAAGAGGCAGCCUGGACCUGUGUUCCCCGAGGCCCUUGAGUGGCAGGCCCAGCCUUCAACCCUGGCAUAGUCCCAGCAUGACCUUGGUGGCCCCCAGCCCACAGGCAGGGCUCUGAGGACUAUGUUGUGGGAUUAACAUCCACCCAGCAAGCCAAGUGGCACUUUGGCUUCACAGGCAGUGGCUCCAGGACAGG